GUUUUUGUUUCUCUAAAUUGAGGAUUAUUUCUUUAACGAGAGACCAAGAUUUUUCUUUUGUUUUCUCUAAAUUGAGGAUUAUUUCUGUAACGAGAGACCAAGAUUUGUUUUUGUUUCUCUCUAAAUUGAGGAUUAUUUCUGUAACGUGAGACCACGAUUUUUCUUUUGUUUUCUCUAAACUGAGGAUUAUUUCUGUAACGAGAGACCAAGAUUUGUUUUUGUUUCUCUAAAUUGAGGAUUAUUACUGUAACGUGAGACCACGAUUUUUCUUUUGUUUUCUCUAAACUGAGGAUUAUUUCUGUAACGAGAGACCAAGAUUUGUUUUUGUUUCUCUAAAUUGAGGAUUAUUACUGUAACGUGAGACCACGAUUUUUCUUUUGUUUUCUCUAAACUGAGGAUUAUUUCUGUAACGAGAGACCAAGAUUUGUUUUUGUUUCUCUAAAUUGAGGAUUAUUUCUCAGCAUUUUCUCUGUACCUGUUUGAAAUUUACUCUUUCCGUUUUUGCUUGAAGUCAAUGUUGUCUCUUGUAUUAUUUAUUUUCUUUUGUCUAAAUUCAGUAAGUACAUUUUUCGAUUAUGCUAGAGUAACUAGGGGAAAUGACGCAUAUUGGCAUGCAAUUUGAAUUAACCCAUCUUGUUCAGAUGUCCACGGUGAAAAAUAUCACCAAGGGAAGGGAGAGCUUUCCGAUGCGCCACAUCAAGCUGCAGCAGGGGGAAACGCAAAUGCCGGUGUGUUUGUGGAGGGAGGCAGCAGUGGAAAAGAAGCUACAGAUCGCGACACACGUCGAGAUUUCCCAUCUCAAAGCCACCAGCUCGGAAUACGGAGAACAACUCCAAUCCACGCCGUUUACACUGGUCGAGGUCGGCCUACUUGGGCUCCAGAAGGCCCCCUGAAGUGAGGAGAGGAGAUUGGUGUUGCUGACUCCAUCCCAAAGACAAUUCAUCAACAAGUGCCAAUCCAGCUCACCUACAUAUACUACUGAUUUUGAUUCCCAUUAUUCUGUAUUGAGAAUAAUGACCUAAAGAAUGUUUACUGAACAUGCUCACCUGGACAGGUAUAAGAGCUGGCUAGUUGUUCCAUUAUUCAUGUUAUUAUAAUUUCAAUGUUUUUUUUAAUUAAUUGUGCCCACAAUUAUUAUUAUUAAUACCAACAGGCCUACCUAUAAUUUAUAAUUUUCACUCACCUAUAAUAAUAUAAUAAAUAGAAUAUCUGUGAUAUUUCAAAUUAAAACAAAGUGUGAAGACUCGACUACUACUUUUGCAAACCACAAGUAAAGACAAACAAAUAUGUGCCAGGAAUCAAGUGUGGAUAUACAGGUGAAACUCGAAAAAUUAGAAUAAUUUUAGAAUGCAUAUGUACUCAGUACUUGGUUUGGGCCCCUUUUGCAUUAAUUACUGCCUCAAUGCGGCGUGGCAUGGAUGCCAUCAUAGCGGCCUUCAGCUCUUCUGCAUUGUUUGGUCUCAUGUCUCUCAUCUUUCUCUUGGCAAUGCCCCAUAGAUUCUCUAUGGGGUUCAGGUCAGGUGAGUUUGCUGGCCAAUCAAGCACAGUAAUACCAUGGUCAUUGAACCAGGUUUUGGUACUUUUGGCAGUGUGGGCAGGUGCCAAGACCUGCUGGAAAAUGAAGUCAGCAUCUCCAUAGAGCUUGUCUGCUGAAGGAAGCAUGAAGUGCUCUAAAAUGUCCUGGUAGACUGCUGCGUUGACUCUGGACUUAAUAAAGCACAGUGGACCAACAACAGCCGAUCACAUGGCUCUCCAAACCAACACAGACUGUAGAAACUUCACACUGGACUUCCAGCAUCUUGGAUUGUGUGCCUCUCCAUUCUUCCUCCAGACUCUGGUGAGAUGCAAAAUUUGCUCUCAUCAGAAAAGAGGACUUUGGACCACUGAGCAACAGUUCUUUUUUUCUUUAGCCCAGGUAAGACCCUUCUGACGUUGUUUGUUGUUCAGGAGCGGCUUGACAAGAGGAAUACGACAUUUGAAGCCCAUGUCCAGGACCCGUCUGUGUAUGGUGGCUCUUGGUGCAGUAACUCCAGCCUCAGUCCACUCCUUGUGAAGCUCCCCCACACAUUUGAAUGGCCUUUUCCUGACAAUCCUCUCCAGGCUACGGUCAUCCCUGCUGCUUGUGCACCUUUUACUUCCACACUUUUCCCUUCCACUUAACUUUCUAUUAAUGUGCUUCGAUACAGCACUUUGAGAACAUCCAACUUCUUUUGCAAUUACCUUUUGAGG
ensembl:lncRNA